UCUUUGCGGGGUGAGGGGCAGCGGGGAGUCGGGGAGGGAGGGAGUCCUGUCUGACCCCAGACCGGUCCCCUCUCCGGGUCCCUCGUGGGGUCACCCUUGAAGAAGGUCAGUGUAAGGUCCCCCUGGCAACUGGACUCUGGGCACCAGCUUCCAGGCCUGAGGAGUUGGUGCGCAUGUGUCGGGGCUGCCUGCGUGGGGGAGGGGAAUGUUUGUUUCUCGGGGUGUGAGCUGUAGGUAGGGGUGUGGGUGUGGAGGUUUCCCCUGGGAUGGCGUGGAGGGUGGGCGGGGGCGGGGGGCGGAGCAGUUCCGGUCUGCCGGGGGCGGCCUCGAGGAGCGGAAUCUGAAGCGAGGAGCCGCCCAAGUGGCCUGGGCGACUCUUCCCGUCCGAGUCCGCGGAGGGUCUGACCGCCGAGAGCGCAGCCUCUGCUCUCAGCCCCGCGGCUGGCGGAAGGUGCUCGGCGCCCCCUUUGCUCGGCGCCGUGGGAUGGAGAGGGAGAGCUUCCCUAGGGGCCUGCAAACACCCCCCCCGCCCCCCCGCCCUGGUCUUCUCAUCACCCCGCAAAGGCUUUGAUCUCCCGCGGCUGCCAGCUCCUGCCGCUCAGGAACCUGGUGCCACUAAGAUGUGUCCAGGGGCAUAGUCCAGCAAAGGUCUUGUGACCUAAGAAACACCACUGGUCCCACUUGGACCAGAACAUUCUUUUUUCCUCCUGAAAGCUGCCUCGGGCCAUGGCAGGGAGCCCGCGUUUGGAAGGGGGAGUGAGAAGGAUGGCGGAAUAUGUCACCCCCAAAUUUGCCUCUUGGUCAUAAGGCUGAUUUUGAGCUGAUUAUUUUAUCAAAUAAGGAAAGCAGUAGAAGUUACCCUUUUGAAAGGGAAACUUAUAUUUGCAAAGGAAAAUAGUCUUUUGUAAGGGUGUCUCACUCUCCGUAGUAGGAAGAGAAGGGGACUCUCAGUCACCGGAGACGCUUACCCAAUGGGGACAGCAGUGAUUUAAAUCUGCCUAAGAAGCUUUCUCCGAGUUUACCCUGCUUUUCCAGGUAACCACCCGUACAGACCUCCCCCCACCAUCCUCACCUUUUGUUCUUUUGUCUUUAGCUGAAGUCGCUGAAGCUACUGGCUUAGGCCCCCUGGGACGAAUGACUUUUUCUCUUAUCUCAAAUAUAUACAGGAGGUACACCUACAAAUAAACUUCUGUUUGUUUUUCUCAUGUUCAUCUGUUUUUUUAUUACAGGGGCCUCAGUCAAGAAUUCAGAAGGGUAUAGGAGAAAUUAUUUUUCUUCCCCUCCACAGGACACAGCUGCCAGGGGCCUAGAGGCUUCUCCCCUCUCCCACCACGGGGGCACUGGGCUUCUACUGCACAUGAAUAAGCUCUACAGGCUGUACUUGGGUCUGGCGUCUCAGCCGGGGAUUUGGAGAGCAUUAGGGGCCCAGCCCCCCAGGGGAUGACUCCUGGCCGCUCACCUUUUCAAAAAGCAGGCCUCCCUUCUAGGCUCCUCUAAUUGGCCUGCACUACUGUGAGAAUGAAUUGGUUCACUGUCUGUCUUCUGCUCCUAGAAUGUAAGCUGUAUGGAAGACCUACUGUGCCUGGCUGGAUUCUCAAAGCCUAGAACGAUGCUUGGGACACAGUAACAGUCCAAUAAAUACUUGCUGGUAAAUAAAGGACAGCUAUGUGGACAAGCAAA